GAUUCUUCAGAGACAAUGGAGCCGCCUUAGAUCUUAGUAAUGAAGACCAACAAGAACUGUGGCCUCGGUAUUUGAGGCAUUUCGACAGUUUUCAAACGUGUGAUGCCGGCAGCAAAUGCUUGUAUCAUGAAUUUGAUCAUUUUCACUGCACUGAUCCAUCAUGCGAAAUGCCAUUUAGAAAUAAAGAAGGUGCUGAAAAUCACGCCAGAGUUCAUGAUACUCAAGAAAGGUUUAAUGAAAGUUUCGAUCAAGAGGAUUGUCAUGACUCCAACUGCAUGAAGGAAAAACAUUUCCACUGCACCUGGGAUGGUUGCAAUGAAGCUGUUUUGCCUGCUGACAGCAUAGAACAUUUUCGAAAUCACGAAUUAGCUGGUUAUAACAUUAACUCUCUUGAUGCACUUUUCCGGCGGAAAAGAGGCAGACCUCCAAAGAAUAGAAUUAUUGAGAUUUGGAACGAUUACGCUGGAGGAGCUCAAUCUGAUUCUCCACAGGCAAUAUUCACUAGUUUCAAAUUACCGAAGCCCAAUCCCGGUCAGUCCAAUGAUACUGCUCCAAGUCCUUCUCCUUCGCCUUCAAGUGGAACAAAUAAUACUUCCCAGCUGGCGGAUGUUUAUGGAUUCCAGGAAUUCUCUGAAACAUGUCCGGAUCCAUUGUGCAUGUUCCGUGGAAGUCAGCAUUUCCACUGUGGACGGCCGAGGUGCUUUUUUGCGACAAAUUCCGACGAAACUUUGGUCUCUCAUGCAAAAGAUUUCCAUGAAAAUAUUGACAUCAUGGAUGGAUUUUUAUUCUUCGAUAGAUGCAUUGACUGCCGAAUGGAAAGCUGUAAAAAGUGAGUUUUUCUUUGUAUUCCCUCGUAGAUCUGGAUAAAAUGUGAAAUAGGUUUUUUGUUUUAAAAGUGAGAGGAUGGAAUUUAUCAAACAAACUGUUAAUCAAGGGGGUAUUUCGUAUGUUUACCCCAGAAAAUAUUAAAUAUUCUCCUAGUUCCUUAUACAGAAAAAUACCUCUAGUAAAAUCAAUUAAUGAAUUUGCAAAUGUAAUAUAGUCAUAGGGGCUACUCAUAAAAUAUGUAAUACACAAUGGGGGAUGGAGUUGAGGAAAAAGCAAAGCCAUUUUUUUUUUCACUUGUUAAAGGAUAGGGACCAACGUCACAGCAGUACACAGUGGAAGAGAGGGAGCGUAAAA
rnacentral:lncRNA from 1 species